rnacentral:rRNA from 1 species
GUUGGGUUAAGUCCCGCAACGAGCGCAACCCUUGUCCUUUGUUGCCAGCACGUAAAGGUGGGAACUCAAAGAAGACUGCCGGUGACAAACCGGAGGAAGGCAGGGAUGACGUCAAGUCAUCAUGGCCCUUACGUCCAGGGCUACACACGUGCUACAAUGGGUUGUACAGAGGGAAGCGAAGCCGCGAGGUAGAGCGGAACCCAGAAAGCAACUCGUAGUCCGGAUUGGAGUCUGCAACUCGACUCCAUGAAGUCGGAAUCGCUAGUAAUCGCGAAUCAGAAUGUCGCGGUGAAUACGUUCCCGGGCCUUGUACACACCGCCCGUCACACCAUGGGAGUGAAUUGCACCAGAAGUAGUUAGCUUAACCCGCAAGGGAGGGCGAUUACCACGGUGUGGUUUAUGACUGGGGUGAAGUCGUAACAAGGUAACCGUA